rnacentral:rRNA from 1 species
CUACGGGAGGCUGCAGUGAGGAAUAUUGCACAAUGGGGGAAACCCUGAUGCAGCAACGCCGCGUGGAGGGUGACGCAUUUCGGUGUGUAAACUCCUUUUAUAUGUCUAGAAAAUGACGGUAGCAUAUGAAUAAGCACCGGCUAACUCCGUGCCAGCAGCCGCGGUAAUACGGAGGGUGCAAGCGUUACUCGGAAUCACUGGGCGUAAAGGACGCGUAGGCGGGUUGGAAAGUCAGGUGUGAAAUCCUACAGCUUAACUGUAGAACUGCACUUGAAACUUCUAAUCUAGAGUAUGGGAGGGGGAGAUGGAAUUAGUGGUGUAGGGGUAAAAUCCGUAGAUAUCACUAGGAAUACCUAAAGCGAAGGCGAUCUCCUGGAACAUUACUGACGCUAAGGCGUGAAAGCGUGGGGAGCAAACAGGAUUAGAUACCCCCGUAGUC